rnacentral:rRNA from 1 species
CCUACGGGAGACAGCAGUGGGGGAUAUUGCACAAUGGGGGAAACCCUGAUGCAGCGACGCCGCGUGUGGGAAGACUGUCCUCUGGAUUGUAAACCACUGUCCCCAGGGACGAAGAUGACGGUACCUUGGGAGGAAGCUCCGGCUAACUACGUGCCAGCAGCCGCGGUAAUACGUAGGGACCGAGCGUUUUCCGGAAUUACUGGGGUUAAAGGGAGCGUAGGCGGGAGUGCAAGUUGGGUGUCAAAUCUACCGGCUCAACCGGUAGCCGCACUCAAAACUGCCGUUCUUGAGUGAAGUAGAGGUAGGAGGAAUUCCUAGUGUAGCGGUGAAAUGCGUAGAUAUACGGAGGAACACCAGUGGCGAAGGCGGAUUGCUGGACAGUAACUGACGCUGAGGCGCGAAAGCGUGGGGAGCAAACAGGAUUAGAUACCCCUGUAGUC